CUCGUGUUUAUUUGGCGCGUCACGACAAAAACCCUACAUGAAAUCGCACGCCGUCCGCCUCUCUUCGCGAGAUCGGGAGAGGCGAUGGGAUCCGGCGAAAAGGAAGCGAGCGACCUCUCUGAUUCUUCCGUUCCAUUUGAUUUCUUUGCCAAACAGAACGCCUCCAAUUCCCUCCCGUUUCCGAUGCCCGAGCUGCUCCCUCGACUUCUUCCAGUUGCAGAUGAUUCUUUCUCUUCGCCUUCUCGUAUCGUUAGGAAACAAUUACUGAACUGGGAGAUUGAAAAGAAGCCAUAUAUGAAGCAGUUGCAUGGUUAAUCAUUAACUUGCUUAUUGUGGGAAGCCAUUGGUAAAGGAGCCAUACAGAGGUGCCUCUCUAGACAAUUUUGAUAUGGAAUAGAAAGUCCAUGUUUCACGUUUGGAUGAUCUGAACUCCAUUGCUGAGCGGUGUAGCUAGGCAAUGUUCUCCAGCUGACAAAAGUCAAUAGUGUUUCACAGUGGUCAGAUCGACUGCAUUAUCAAGGUGUGAUUGAUAUAGGAAGAGAAAGGAGAAAAGAAGAAUUAGAAAGAAAGAAGAAACUCUCCGGUUAUUCUAUCAAUCCACAGGUACAUCGUUCUCAUGUUGUUUUCAUUGUUUCUUAUAGCUACUGUUCUUUCAUGUCAGUAUGUUCUUUCAUCUUAGUACCCAGUUGCGGAUGGGUCUCUUGAAUGAUGUGGAAGUUCAUAUUAGUCUUUAAAUGCGAUUCUUAUUUUCUUUCUUUGCCAUAAGAUGAUAUUGCUCUGUUAUUAUGUCAUUAAACAGUGGAUGUUAGGUUUUUGUUUCUUUCAGCAACACCAUAAUUAGCCGCAGGGGUGUG